AGGAUAAACGCUGGCGGCGUGCCUAAAACAUGCAAGUCGAACGGACACUUCGGUGUUAGUGGCGAACGGCUGAGUAACACGUGGGUGACCUGCCUUCGAACGGGGGAUAACUGCCCGAAAGGGUGGCUAAUACCGCAGAUGUUGCGACUUCGGUGACGCAACUGAACUUCCGGGGGUUCGGAGAGGGGCCUGCGUCCGAUUAGCUAGUUGGUGGGGUAACGCCUACCAAGGCGACGAUCGGUAGCUGGUCUGAGAGGAUGAUCAGCCAGACUGGGACUGCGAACGGCCCAGACUCCUACGGGAGGCAGCAGUUAGGAAUUUUGGGCAAUGGGCGAAAGCCUGACCCAGCAACGCCGCGUGGGUGAUGAAGGCCCUCGGGUCGUAAAGCCCUUUUCCCAGGGAAGAUGAUGACGGUACCUGGGAAUCAGCCCGGCUAACUACGUGCCAGCAGCCGC
rnacentral:rRNA from 1 species